rnacentral:rRNA from 1 species
UACGUAGGGUGCAAGCGUUUGUCCGGAAUUAUUGGGCGUAAAGAGCUCGUAGGCGGUUUGUCGCGUCUGCUGUGAAAACCCGAGGCUCAACCUCGGGCCUGCAGUGGGUACGGGCAGACUAGAGUGCGGUAGGGGAGAUUGGAAUUCCUGGUGUAGCGGUGGAAUGCGCAGAUAUCAGGAGGAACACCGAUGGCGAAGGCAGGUCUCUGGGCCACUACUGACGCUGAGAAGCGAAAGCAUGGGGAGCGAACAGG